GUAACUCUGUCAAGUUCACCAUAUCAGACCAGGUAACUCCGUCAAGUUCACCAAAUCAGACCAGGUAACUCCGUCAAGUUCACCAUAUCAGACCAGGUAACUCCGUCAAAUUCACCAUAUCAGACGAGGUAACUCUGUCAAGUUCACAUUGUCAGACCAGGUAACUCCGUCAAGUUCAC